ensembl:lncRNA
AGGACAACGCAGGGAAAGCAAAUGGCGGCUCCUACGGAAUGAUGUUCGGCACAGAAAGUAAGGCUCAGCAGAUACUCCCAAUCCACAAACUCUCCCGGAACAAAGAUACGCAAAAAGCGGGGCGUAGUGAGCUCUCUUCGCCUCGGGUACUUACGAUCCAGUGACGAUUAUAAGUCCAGUUUCUCCGGACAGGCGCGAGCGGAAAAGGAAGCCACUCAGAGCAAGGGGGCCGGGAGCCGAGCGUCUCCUUCCGAAUUCCUUUGUUCUUCCCGGCACUUGGCAAAGCGAUCCGCUGAUUAUCGGUGAAACGGCUGAGGACGGGCAACGCGAAAUCUCGCCAAGGACCGCAGCUCCAAACGCUAGAUUCUGCAACUCCGCAGCUCAGCGGGCCUCCGUCCGUUAACGGCCGACCUAGCCGAGAAAAGAGAGCUACGUCACCACCCGGGACGGGAAGCUGCUAGGAGUCGCAGCACGCCUCGGGCGGAAGUGCGGGCUGCCCCAGCGCCCGCAGGCGCAACGCCCGAAUACGCUAUCCGGCGUGUCUGGUCGUCUCGCGAGAACUUGGCCUUAACGGGACGAAGACUAUGUUUCGUAAAGAGCUGUUGGUCUAGGACUUCCCUGGUGGCGCAGUAGUUGGGAGUCCGCCUGCCACCGCAGGAAGCGCGGGUUCGUGCCCCAGUCCGGGAGGAUCGCCGCGUGCCGCGGAGCGGCUGGGCCCGUGAACCGUGGCCGCUGGACCUGCGCGUCCGCAGCCUGCGUUCCGCAACGGGAGAGGCCACAACAGUGAGAGACCCCCGUACCACACACACAAAAAAGCUGUUGGUUUAAAAGUAUUUAGAAAAAACCGUUAUAAAAAGGACAUAGAUUCUCCCCGCCUCCGCUAAGCCAGGGCUUUUACCGGAUCUCUGUGGGGCCGGAUACCUCCUAGGCUUCCGCGUGAUUGCCGGAGAUAGGGCGGCCGUGCGGAAAUGGUGUUUGUUUCUGGAAACAUCUCGGCAUCUCCACAGGCUAUAUUCAAUCUGGAGCCGAUAAAAAAACCUCAUAACUAACCAUACCGUGGAUUUUAAAGUACCCAAGUCAGUGGAGUGAGGACGUGCAGCCCACGAUAAUUCUAAGUCUGUGUUUGUUGAUUAUCAAGAUGGCUGUAGGGGGCCCGUGACUCGGUCUGUUUCUGUUUUGAAGACCCCCCCCCCCCCCCACCGUGAGGGAACAAGGGUAAUUCCUCUUUUUUAAUUUUAGUUUAUUUAUUUUUUUAUACAGCAAGUUCUUAUUAGUCAUCCAUUUUAUACAUAUUAGUGUAUACAUGUCAAUCCCAAUCUCCCAGUUCAUCCCCGCCCUCCCCUCCCCUGCCACUUCCCCCCCUUGGCGUCCAUACGUUUGUUCUCUGCAUCUGUGUCUCAAUUUCUGCCCUGCAAACCGGUUCACCUGUACCAUUUUUCUAGGUUCCACAUAUAUGCGUUAAUAUACGAUAUUUGUUUUUCUCUUUCUGACUUCACUCUGUGAGUCUCUAGAUCCAUCCACGUCUCUAUAGGUGACCCAAUUUCGUUCCUUUUUAUGGCUGAGUAGUGAUUCCGCUUUUUAAUGUGUUUGACGUAGAUAUAAAUGUAAACAGAGAAGGUAGUGUUCUUCUGGAGGCCCAUGUUCAUUUAGGACAGUUGGCUGAAAGACGAAUAGUCUGAUUAAAGUAGAAUAUAAUUGAAGUAUUACUUCCUUCUACUCAUUUUCCAGUUAAUUUUUAAAUUAGUUUGGAAUUUUAAAAAAUCCACCUCUACUGUUUGGAUAACUUUUCUGCCUGCCUCUUCUUUAGGUGGUCAAGUAUUCUUCAACAUGUAUUUAUAGUUCUUCAGUCUAACCGUGUAACAAGUUUCCACCUAUUCCUAUUCAUUUCCAUUUACUUAUUAAUAGGAUCAAUUUGGUAGACUAUCGAGGUCAUUAAAAUUUCAAUUUCUAUUCUCUAAUAUAUCAACACCUGCAUCUAAGUUUUAGAGAAUUCACUUAAAAUGUGAUUAACAUUUAUAAAAUUCACUUUAUUUCUUUAUGUACUUAUUGUCUCCCUCACCUAAGAUUGGAAGCUCCAUGAUAAUCAGGAGUCUAAUAUCAUGUUCAUCCGGUCCCAGUGCCUAGUGUCAAAACGUGGGAGAUAAAAAAUAUCUGCUAAUUGAAUGAAACAAUUGAUCCAUCCAGAAAGAACAUAAAUACAAUCUAAAUCCUAUAAUAGUUUGUCAGAAAAUACAUUCUGUGUCGCCUUAAAAUGAGAUAGAGCCACUUUAUAUAUACAUUUCCUCUCCAGUCACGGACCGUGCCAAUUGUUAGGAGGCCAGAAGUUUGCAAAUAGCGUGUGUGAAUGUGACCCCUUUUGUUUCGUAGACUGUGCUACUGUGUGUCAUGGGGUGGAAUUUAAAUGGUUUGGUACCAGUCUGGUUUUUUAUGUUAAGUGUGAAGGAAAAUUAUGCUCUUCUACAUAACUGUACUUUAGUUCUUUGUACUGUAAUGUGUUGAAGAACGUUAGCUGAUGUAUAUGUAAUUUCCAGGAUGAUCUAUUUCCUCUUUUUGAAGAAGUUUUUCCAAUGUGCUUGUCCCUUAAUUGUACCUGAUUUUACUUACUUCAUAGAUAUGAGUUUAGCAUGCUAGCCUUUGCAUAAUGCUUUAUUUAACCCUAUAAAAUGUGAGGCCAUGCUUAUACAUGAAAAUAAUCCAAAGAUUGCUUUGCAUGUUAAUUGCCUAUGAGUUUUAUGAUGCUCAAAUAUCUUUGUCACAGAAGAUAACAUGAGAUAAAUUCUGGGCAAUUCAGAUUUGCCAAAAUUAUGGUGUAUUUAGUUAUUAAACCUUGAAAUGGAAGGUUGUCAGAGUUAAUUAAAAGGAUCAACUG